rnacentral:rRNA from 1 species
GAUGAACGCUGGCGGCGUGCCUAAUACAUGCAAGUCGAGCGAACGGACGAGAAGCUUGCUUCUCUGAUGUUAGCGGCGGAAGGGUGAGUAACACGUGGAUAACCUACCUAUAAUACUGGGAUAACUUCGGGAAACCGGAGCUAAUACCGGAUAAUAUUUUGAACCGCAUGGUUCAAAAGUGAAAGACGGUCUUGCUGUCACUUAUAGAUGGAUCCGCGCUGCAUUAGCUAGUUGGUAAGGUAACGGCUUACCAAGGCAACGAUGCAUAGCCGACCUGAGAGGGUGAUCGGCCACACUGGAACUGAGACACGGUCCAGACUCCUACGGGAGGCAGCAGUAGGGAAUCUUCCGCAAUGGGCGAAAGCCUGACGGAGCAACGCCGCGUGAGUGAUGAAGGUCUUCGGAUCGUAAAACUCUGUUAUUAGGGAAGAACAUAUGUGUAAGUAACUGUGCACAUCUUGACGGUACCUAAUCAGAAAGCCACGGCUAACUACGUG